GAAACGACUGCUAAGACUGGAUAGGAGAUAAGAAGGCAUCUUUUUAUUUUUAAAAGACCUAGCAAUAGGUAUGCUUAGGGAAGAGCUUGCGUCACAUUAGUUAGUUGGUGGGGUAAUGGCCUACCAAGACGAUGAUGUGUAGCCGGGCUGAGAGGUCGAACGGCCACAUUGGGACUGAGACACGGCCCAAACUCCUACGGGAGGCAGCAGUAAGGAAUUUUCGGCAAUGGAGGAAACUCUGACCGAGCAAUGCCGCGUGAACGAUGAAGUAUUUCGGUACGUAAAGUUCCUUUAUUAGGGAAGAAAAGAUGGUGGAAAAACCAUUAUGACGGUACCUAAUGAAUAAGCCCCGGCUAACUAUGUGCCAGCAGCCGCGGUAAUACAUAGGGGGCAAGCGUUAUCCGGAAUUAUUGGGCGUAAAGGGUGCGUAGGCGGUUAAAUAAGUUUAUGGUCUAAGUGCAACGCUCAACGUUGUGAUGCUAUAAAAACUGUUUAGCUAGAGUUGGAUAGAGGCAAGUGGAAUUCCGUGUGUAGUGGUAAAAUGCGUAAAUAUACGGAGGAACACCAGAAGCGAAGGCGGCUUGCUGGGUCUUAACUGACGCUGAGGCACGAAAGCGUGGGGAGCAAACAGGAUUAGAUACCCUGGUAGUCCACGCCCUAAACGAUGAGUACUAAACGUUGGAUAAAACCAGUGUUGAAGUUAACACAUUAAGUACUCCGCCUGAGUAGUACGUACGCAAGUAUGAAACUUAAAGGAAUUGACGGGACUCCGCACAAGCGGUGGAUCAUGUUGUUUAAUUCGAAGGUACCCGAAAAACCUCACCAGGUCUUGACAUGCUUUUGCAAAGCUGUAGAAAUACAGUGGAGGUUAUCAGAAGCACAGGUGGUGCAUGGUUGUCGUCAGCUCGUGUCGUGAGAUGUUGGGUUAAGUCCCGCAACGAGCGCAACCCUUGUUGUUAAUUGCCAUCAUUAAGUUGGGGACUUUAGCAAGACUGCCAAUGAUAAAUUGGAGGAAGGUGGGGACGACGUCAAAUCAUCAUGCCCCUUAUGACCUGGGCUACAAACGUGAUACAAUGGCUGUUACAAAGGGUAGCUAAAGCGUAAGCUUCUGGCGAAUCUCAAAAAAGCAGUCUCAGUUCGGAUUGAAGUCUGCAACUCGACUUCAUGAAGUUGGAAUCGCUAGUAAUCGCGAAUCAGCAUGUCGCGGUGAAUACGUUCGCGGGGUUUGUACACACCGCCCGUCA
rnacentral:rRNA from 1 species